AUUGAACGCUGGCGGCAGGCCUAACACAUGCAAGUCGAACGAGUGGCGGACGGGUGAGUAAUGUCUGAGAAACUGCCCGAUGGAGGGGGAUAACUACUGGAAAAGGAAGCUAAUACCGCAUACAAUCGGAUGUGCCCAGCUGGGAUUAGCUAGGAGGGGGGGUAAUGGCUCACCUAGGCGACGAUCCCUAGCUGGUCUGAGAGGAUGACCACCAACACUGGAACGGAGACACGGUCCAGACUCCGACGGGAGGCAGCAGUGGGGAAUAUUGCACAAUGGGGGAAAGCCUGAUGCAGCCAUGCCGCGUGGAUGAAGAAGGCCUUCGGGUGGUAAAGUACUUUCAGCGAGGAGGCGUUACUCGAAGAAGAAGCACCGGCUAACUCCGUGCCAGCAGCCGCGGUAAUAC
rnacentral:rRNA from 1 species